GACGAACGCUGGCGGCGUGCUUAACACAUGCAAGUCGAACGGAAAGGCCUUUUCGGAGGUACUCGAGUGGCGAACGGGUGAGUAACACGUGGGUGAUCUGCCCUGCACUCUGGGACAAGCCUGGGAAACUGGGUCUAAUACCGGAUAGGACCGCACUUUAGUGUGUGUGGUGGAAAGUUUUUUCGGUGUAGGAUGAGCCCGCGGCCUAUCAGCUUGUUGGUGGGGUAAUGGCCUACCAAGGCGGCGACGGGUAGCCGGACUGAGAGGUUGGUCGGCCACAUUGGGACUGAGAUACGGCCCAGACUCCUACGGGAGGCAGCAGUGGGGAAUAUUGCACAAUGGGCGCAAGCCUGAUGCAGCGACGCCGCGUGGGGGAUGACGGCCUUCGGGUUGUAAACUCCUUUCGCCAGGGACGAAGCGUUUUGUGACGGUACCUGGAGAAGAAGCACCGGCUAACUACGUG
rnacentral:rRNA from 1 species